UCAUGCAUCAUGAUAUACAAAUAUGAUGAAGUGUAAUAGAAUAUUAUUUCAUGUGUAAGUAGCAAGUAGUUAGUAGCCUAAGUUAGUUAGCUAAUACACGUGGUAGUUAGUUGACAGGCUGUUAAUAGAAGUUAGUUAAGCAACCAACUGAAGCAAUGGUGCAGUAGUGGUGAUCCAUGAUCAUGUGGCAGCUAUAUACAACUGUCAUAUACACGCCUCCUUACUCCUCUAUAUAUACAUGAGAGGGUGCAGAAUUGCAUGUAUAAUAUAGAUAUUUUUCCUUCACAAUCAAUGAAAGUUUUCUUCUCUCUAGAAUAAGCUCUCAUGCUUUCAAUAUUUGAGUAACUGCUUUGUAGUAUAUUUCAUGUAUACUGUGUGUAUAUUGCAGAUGAAUGUUGUUAGUGAAUGUUGUUAGAUUCAUAAUUUGAUACUAUUGCUUCUGAAUCACCUUAUCUUAAAGCAGCUGCUUUAGUUGAUCUUGGAUGGACAUUAAUUUAAUGUGAAGUAGUAGAUACAGUACAGAGUUUGAGAGGCUGGGAGGUUAAAUUUUUAUUUUUUUUUAAUUUUUAUUGUAGAGCUUGUAGUGUGAACUAUACUGUGUACUUGGAUUACUAUUAGUUUGGUUGAAGCAGCAGACGCUACUGACGAGUUUUCAUCAAAGGUUCAUCUUUUGUAAUUGUUGUUGUAUUCAUAUGUUUUGUUAUAUUAGUGCACAGAUGAGGAGCAUUAUCUUAUUACUUGUUGAACCCCCAAAAAUUCAUUUUGUACUGUUCUUUGAGUUUCUACUGUGAGCAAAGUGUAAGUGUAGUAGCAAUUCCUUAUGUAUUAAAUGCAUUUCUCAAACGUUUUUGUAUUAUUAGAUUCCUUUGUACUUGUUCUA